GGACACUUCCAGUGUAACUCACACAGAGCACUACAAGACACUGAUAGAGGCAGGCCUCCCACAGAAGGUGGCAGAGAGACUUGAUGAAAUAUUUCAGACAGGGCUGGUAGCUUAUGUCGAUCUUGAUGAAAGAGCAAUUGAUGCUCUUAGAGAAUUUAAUGAAGAAGGCGCCCUCUCUGUGCUCCAACAAUUUAAGGAAAGCGACCUGUCUCAUGUGCAGAACAAAAGUGCAUUUUUAUGUGGAGUUAUGAAGACCUACAGGCAAAGGGAGAAACAAGGGAGCAAGGUACAAGAAUCAACAAAGGGACCUGAUGAAGCAAAGAUUAAGGCUUUGCUCGAGAGGACUGGUUACACACUAGAUGUAACCACAGGACAGAGGAAAUAUGGUGGACCUCCUCCAGAUAGUGUAUAUUCUGGUGUACAACCUGGCAUUGGGACAGAGGUUUUUGUAGGUAAGAUACCAAGAGAUUUAUAUGAAGAUGAAUUGGUACCACUGUUUGAAAAGGCUGGUCCCAUUUGGGACUUACGCCUUAUGAUGGAUCCUCUGUCUGGUCAGAAUAGAGGGUAUGCAUUCAUCACCUUCUGUGGAAAAGAUGCCGCACAGGAAGCUGUCAAGCUGUGUGACAGCUAUGAAAUCCGUCCGGGUAAACACCUUGGAGUCUGCAUUUCAGUGGCAAACAACAGGCUAUUUGUUGGAUCGAUUCCAAAGAACAAAACCAAGGAAAACAUAUUGGAAGAAUUCAGCAAAGUCACAGGUUUAACAGAGGGUUUGGUGGACGUUAUUCUCUAUCAUCAACCCGAUGAUAAAAAGAAGAAUCGGGGGUUCUGCUUCCUUGAGUAUGAAGACCACAAGUCGGCAGCACAAGCCCGGCGCAGGCUUAUGAGCGGGAAAGUCAAAGUCUGGGGCAAUGUUGUGACCGUGGAGUGGGCCGACCCUGUGGAAGAACCAGACCCGGAGGUUAUGGCCAAGGUGAAAGUUCUGUUUGUGAGAAACUUGGCCACUACAGUGACAGAGGAAAUAUUGGAGAAAUCCUUUUCUGAAUUUGGAAAGCUAGAAAGAGUGAAGAAGCUAAAAGAUUAUGCAUUUGUUCACUUUGAAGAUAGAGGAGCAGCAGUUAAGGCCAUGGAUGAGAUGAAUGGGAAAGAAAUAGAGGGGGAAGAAAUUGAGAUAGUCUUAGCCAAACCUCCUGACAAGAAAAGGAAAGAACGCCAGGCUGCACGACAGGCCUCCAGAAGCACCGCGUAUGAAGAUUAUUACUACCAUCCCCCACCUCGUAUGCCACCUCCUUUGAGAGGCCGAGGACGUGGUGGGGGGAGAGGCGGCUAUGGUUACCCUCCAGAUUACUAUGGCUAUGAAGAUUAUUAUGAUGACUACUAUGGCUAUGAUUAUCAUGAUUAUCGUGGAGGCUAUGAAGACCCGUACUAUGGCUAUGAUGAUGGCUAUGCAGUAAGAGGAAGAGGAGGAGGAAGGGGUGGGCGCGGUGCUCCGCCACCACCACGGGGGCGCGGAGCACCACCUCCACGAGGUAGAGCUGGCUAUUCACAGAGGGGGGCACCUUUGGGACCGCCAAGAGGAGCUCGGGGCGGGAGAGGGGGCCCUGCACAGCCACAGAGAGGCCGUGGUUCGCGUGGAGCUCGGGGUAACCGUGGGGGCAACGUAGGAGGCAAGAGAAAAGCCGACGGGUACAACCAGCCCGACUCCAAGCGCCGUCAGACCAACAGCCAGCAGAACUGGGGCUCCCAGCCCAUCGCCCAGCAGCCGCUUCAGCAAGGUGGCGACUAUUCUGGGAAGCGUGGUUGAGGCUGCCCUGACCUGACAUGUCAUGAUGUCGACUUGCUAGGUGGGGUUCGCUGGGGACGAUACCAAUGGAGUUGUUGUUCCUUCAGGGUAACUCCUAAGGUUCUACUUAUCAUCUCCUUUAUGUUGUGAUUCUGACGGCCCUUGAUCCUGUUGUGAUUUGGGGAACCUGUCCACGUCUUCAGUAGAUGGUCUUCAUGAAUUGGCGUAUUCACCACCACCCAGCGGCUAACCUGGUAAUGAGGCUCUCUGAACUUAGCUAGGCGGGUCCUUGGAUGGCAGACGCCCAGUCCGCCACUGAGCCCUGCUCAGUCUUUGCAGCUCGGCAGGACCUUCCGGAGCUUGCACUUGGCCUGGCAUUGCCUUCAAGAACCCAGGUCACUUCCACACUACUAUGUCGCUUCAAAGGAAGACUUCAAUGGAGGUGAUUUUGAUAUUGAUAUUAAUAAUAAAGUCUUAUUUUCAAUGCCGAAAGAUAGCCAUAAUGUAUUUUCUUCAUCCUACCUAGCUUCCUUAAAGCUCUGAGAUGACUUUCAUUUCUUCUUUACUAAUCUGGGCAUUUGUUCCGAGGGCAUAUUUCAGUAGGUCUUGAAAAGUCCUUGCAUAGGAACCCUUGAGAUGCUUCUGAAAGCGCCUUGGCAGUGUUGUGACACUCUCCUGUGCAUUCUUGGGACUUCUGGCUGUGCACCUAUCCUCUUCUUUUCUUGGUCCACUUUACAACUCUGUAUGUCAUGUUAGGAAAGAUUGUGAGAUGCUAGGCAAUUUAUAAGGAAUCUUUUGCCAAUAGGGGAUAGUUUUUUACCAAAUAGUGGAACUAACUUAGAAAGCCGUGUUGAAAUGCAUAGAACUUAAAAUGUUAGAAGGGAGCAUUGCACAGUUCAGGAAGCAGAAAAAAUGACCUACAUUUGCCUUGGAUAGCUUCCAUAGGGCUUCUUUAGAGAGAUUCCUUGAGGUACACAGUGCAGGAAGUAGCUCUGUCUUACUGAUGAAGACGUGUGUUCUCAGAGAGGGGAAGGGAUUGGCCCAAGGUAAUAUGAUUAGUCAGAAAGAGCGGGUCAUGGGGAAAUGUUUGCACACAGUCAGAUAUAUGGCUUCCACCAUUGGCAUUGUGCAAUAAAGUCAUUAAUAUAGGAUAAAUAAACUUUGUGGUAACCUAAGGCAGUCUGCUUGCCUAUUUUGUCUGAGAUGAAAAUUACAACUGUUCUGUGGAAGAUUUUCUUGAGUUUUUGUCGAAGGAAUUAAGUGUUAAUUGAUAUAGUACUGGUUUUUACUAUGUGUAAACUGCCCUAGGAAAGUUAUCUUUCUUAAACCAAUGUUCUUAGUCCCUUAAAUGGACACGGUUGCUUAGUUAAGCAGUUGUACAGUAAAAGAAGUAGAAUCCUAUUUGAAUGUAGUGGCUCUGUCCAGUUCUCCUUAAUAAGACCAUUGCUAGGCUCUGGCCCAAAGCUUGUACUAACAUAGCUUGGCUGGCAUGCAUACUCAUUCCCAUGUUUUGGAAAGCCUAUAGAGUAGGCUUCCCAUUCAUUAG